AAAAUUAAUUUCAAAUUAAUCGAAUAAUCUAAAAUUAGUUUCAGUUUGGUCAACUAAACUAAGAUUAAUUUCUUGUUAGUCGUUUAAUAUAAGAUUAAUUUCAGAUUAAGCGACUAACUCAAAUUAAAUUAUUAAUAUCCAAAAUUAUCGAUUAAUCGAAAAAAUACACCGAUCGGCUAGUUAGCUCCAUUUAUCGCGUUAGUCAAAAAUUUUCCGUAGUAACAUUUUCAACACCUUAUAAAAAUAUAUAUAUUAGACAAUUAAAAUCGUUUAACCAAAAGUCGAUUAGUUAAUCACUAUCACAAUUAAUCGAUUAUUCACCACACAGAUAUACACUCGUCUUCACUGAAUCACUAACAUAAAAACUUCAUUUGAAAUUAAUUACAGGCCUAUAUUUACUUCAAAAGCAAAUAAUUCGAAACCACAAUCAACUUCACCUUAUGUACAUUGUAAAUAUGAAAACAUACUAAUUUGUGGCAGAGCAAAUAUACCUAGAUAUUCAUACAAAUAUCAUUACCGGCAUAAAUCACAAAUCGUCAAGCAAUUAAUCAAGCCAUCAAUAUAAAUGUGUCACAAUUAAGGCAUACAAUAUUUCAACCAGAGGGUUUAAGUAUACAAAACAUAUACAUAAAUAUCUCACAAUCAAAUUAAAUUAAAUAUUAGCUGUCCUGCAAUAAAUUAAAAUUUCACUCGAGACUCAAGAAAUUUAAAAGCUCAAGUUUGUUUUUUGAGGUAAGUGAAUUUUUUGACUUUUUUUUUGCAAAGAAAAUUAUUUGUGAGAAAGCUAGCCCAAAGUCUGAAAAGUAUGGUUCGAGCUUUUGAUAUAUUUGAGCAUCGCCGAAUUUUUAACCUUUUUGAAACGGCUUAUCACCUAGCUUCUGAAAGAUGGAAUACAGUGAAAGCUUGCAGUCUUAAUCAAAGGAUACAAAAUGGCGCACUUGUCCAAUACAUAUACUUUCAUAUUUGUAUGUCAAGUUUAACUUUGGUGAAAGCUUACAAGCUUUCCAGAGCUAGUAAUAAACCAGCAAGCUUUGCUCAGCUUAAAGCAGAUAUGAAAGCUCUGAUUACGAAAAUAGUAGAACAUAUAUAAGUAUUUCUGCUUGUAAUCUUCUUGAUUUCUAAAGCUUUCCAUCAAUUAAUUAUUUUUAAUAGCUUGCUAAUAUCUAAUUACUUUUGGUGUCUUUCGACAAACCCUUUUUUUGAUUAAAGGAAGUUACAACUUUUUAGGCAAAAGCACUUAAUUUAGAAUUAAGCGUUAUGCUUUAUUAACUUUCUUAAAGCUUUUUUUGUGUUUAGCUCUGAGGCUUAAUGAAAGCUCUAAAGUUUUUUUUGCGUAAAGUAAAAGAGACAAAUGAAAGCUCUCAAGCUUUAAUGCUCAAAGCUUUGAAGAUUGAUGAAAGCUUUAAAGCUUUUAAGCACAAGGCUUCAAGGAUUGGUGAAAGCUUUAAGGUUUUUAAGCACAAAACUUACUGAAAUAUUUAUUUCAGUGCGUAAACGGCUUAAAAUAAGAUUUUUUUUUUAUUUUUAGUAAAGUGAAUGAGUUUUCAAGUAGUGAAAUAAUAAAACACAAGUUCUACAGCAAACGCAAUUUUACACCCAAAUCAUGCACAGGAUAAGUACACUUGCAGGACAGCUAGUAUUAUUUAAUAUAUGUAAAAUAUGUACAUAUAUACAAAUAACCCGUCAUAUCUCACCCCUCACAUAAGCAGCAUUAUCGUUCGUGGCAAUCAGUAACUCCACAGCUUUGCAAAUACUGUUUUUAUACUGUAAUCACCAAAUAAAUAUCAAUAGCCAUCUCAGAGCACACAUAUGUAGUAUAACUGUACAUGCCAUUUCACAAACACACAAGCACAGUUAAAGAGAAGUUAGAUGUUAUUGAUAGCCCUACAACCCGACUCAUCAAUCAACACGCAAGUCAAAGUCAUUGAAAUAUCACAAACAAAUAAAAACAAAAAUAAAAUUAAUUGAGCAGAAUUCAAUAUGAUUUUUGAAAUCGAAUAUAUGCGAUUGCAAAUUAUAAAUAUGUAAAUAUUAAAUUUCGAACCAAAAGCGAUAAGCAAUGAAUUUUAAAUAUUUUCAAUCAGAUAUUCGAACUCCAAUAUCUACAAAGGUAAAUGAAAUGAAAAUUAUUGAAAUAUAAAUAUUGCUUAUAGUAUUGCAAGGCAAUUUAAAUACACGCUACAACAACAAAACGGCUAUACGACGUCUGUAGCUCGAGUAAAGUAUUAAAUUAGCGUAAAAAUAUUCAUUUGUAAUUUUAGCUGUAAAUAAAUGAUAAUUAAGCUUAAAAAAUAAAAGUUAAAAUGAAAAUAAAUAUGUACAGCGGCGGUGCAACAGCAAAUAUGUAGUAGAUAAAAAUAUGUUAUAUCAAAAAAUAUUUAAAAUUUAAAUUACAUUUAAAAUAAAGUAUUUAAUCAAGCAUGCACUUUUAAGAUUUUUUAAAGUGAAUUUUACUUUUCUAAUGUAUGAUUUUGUAAAUUACGUCAAAGGUCGACGAAGAAUAGUAGAAAUGACAACUCAAAUGUAAUAUUAAAAAAAUUAUAUUAUAUAACUGCAAUACACGAGAAAAAAUACAUUUAUAAAAAUAUUAAAAAUUUCAAAUUUUUUGUAAUUAAAAAAAUUAAUAUUUCUUUGUUGUAAAUAAAAAUUGCAAAAUUACUCAAAACCUAAAACAUAAUUUUUUUGCAAACAACAACCAUUUUUUGUGCAAAAAAAAAUAAAAUUUUUUAUUUGUAAUUUGCACUUAAAAUUUUUUGUAAUUGCAACUUUUUUCGUAAUUUGUAAUUUUUUUUUUUAAUUUGUAAAUUUUCUUUUUUUUUUUUAAAUUUGUAUAAAAAACUGUAAUUUGCAAAAAUGAACUUUUGUAACUUAGCAACAUAUAAAUUAAAUGUAAUUAUGCGUUAGUACUAUUAAAUUUUUUUACAAAAAUAAGAAAAAUUAUCUCUAAGCAAACACACGAAAAAGUCAUUUUAGUUUGUAAUGAAAAAAAAAUUAUUUAUAACUCGAAAACUUUUUGUAAAUUUCUUAAUUAUUGAAAGUAAGAUUUUUUAAGAAAACGCAAUUUUAUUUCAAAAAAAAAAUCAGCACCCAAAAGUAAAAAUUUUAAGACAACUUUUGAUUCUUAUAAAAAGAACACUUGGUAUACGAUUCUUGGUCUCAUUGAAAAUUAUUUUUCAUACUAAAAAAAUUAAAAACAAAAAUAAAAAUCCAUUUUAUAUAUAAAUAAAAAACCACAGCAAACAAACAAGCAAAUAUACAUAAAAAUAAUUACAAAAACAAUAUUAAAUUCUUAUACAUAUAUAUGUAUGUACCAUAUAAAAAUGCAGCAAACCCGCUUUUAAUUUUUUGCCACUACACAAACUACAGUUAUUUGUGCAUUAAGUCAGUAAGAUUUUUUUUCUGCCUAAAUGCAGACGAAUUUGGUUCUAUUUACUUUUACGUGUAUUAUUAAUUAUAUAUUAUUUUUCCACUUAAGCUUAGCAAUUAUCAAUGCAAAUACAUAUUUACUUUAAUUUAUAACACAAAAAAGGCAAAAAGUAAAACUUAUAAAUACAAAAUAUAUAUACAUAUAUCAAAAAAUUCAAAUAUUUUUGUUUUAUUCAAGAACUUUUAUUUUUACCAACCUAUUAAAAAAAAAUAAAUAUUAUUUUAUAAAUUAAAGAAAAUUAAUAUAAAAAAAAUAAUUUUUUCGAGAAAAAAAUAUAGAAUAAUAAUUUUAAUUUAAUUUAUAAAAUAAUAAUUUUCUUUUAUCGUAAAAUUAUUAUUUUCUUUUAUCGAAAAAAUUAUUAUUAUUUUUUCUCAAUCGAGUUUCCACUUAAAGUCACAUGCGACUAUUUUAAGUUGACAGUCCUCUUACCUUGAGUUAACUUGUUCUCUUCAGUAUGUCAUUUUUAUUAUUUACACACCACAUUCUAAUAAAAAAUCAAAAAGUUAAUGAUUUAUACACCAAACUAAUAUUAGUGUAAAAAAAUCUCGGAAACGCACAUUAAUGAUAAAAAUUAUGAUAAAAUAUAAUAUUACUACUAAUAUAAAAUAUUAUGUAAAAAAUAUAUAUAAAUGUCUAUGCGAUACCAGAAUCAUACAUACCCACACAUCUAAGCAUAAAAUAUACACCGGAAAGCGACGAAAUGGAGAAAGUAUGCUAGAAAUAUUGCAGAAAAAUUAGAAGCAAGAAACUUCAAAGCCCGCCAUGCAGCUAAAUUCUAGACUACACUUGGUCUAGACGCAAGACAGCAAAAUGUUGGAGAAGAACGCUGACCCAUUCACAUGAUACACAUUCGUGUAUUUUUGUAAGUGAAAACAUGGAAAAUCAUAUCAAAAGCACCAAGGAUAACAAAAAAUUAAAGGACAUACAACAAUAAAAACAUACAUAUUAAUCAUAUAAAUAGGGCGUAGCAAGUUUUAAGCGGAACAGUAGGGUUCAAUAAAAAUUUAACAUAAAAUUCCACAAGACAUCACAUAAAAUAUGAACUUAUACUUGUAUAAAAUACCAAAAACGAAUAUGAAAAUACAAAAUUAAUGCAAUAAGUAAAUAAACAAAAAUACAAACAUUUAAUGGCAGCUAUUUUACAUUUUUUCAUACAAUAAUGCACACAUACUACUUACAAAAACACAUUGCGAUAAAAAAAAGUUGAAAAAUUCGUAAGAGAAAAUGUCAAUACUGGACUUAAAGCAGACGAGCAAGCAAUGUUAUUAAAAUUAUAAAAUAUGUGUAUGUAUACAUAAUAGGAAAGUAAUUAGAAGUUUGUAGGUUUAUAAAUAUUAGGCAGACAUGCAAAUACUCAGCAUUAACCAUUGUAAAUAUUUACUGUAAAAUAAUCCUUCCUCUCUGCAAGGAAAUAACUUCGAAAAGGCGAGUAAUUGGGUAGUAUUCUAGUUAGAUGUGCAGCUCGGGCAAUUAGUUGCUUGGAAAAUGUAAAUAAAUUAGUUGCUUUUGAUUUAUUUGCUAAUGACUCAUAAAUUAAUGCUCAAAUUAGUAAACAGCCAACUGAAGACAUAAUUAAAAAGCAGUUACAAAUGAAAUUUAGGUUGAGAAAAAGCGUCUGUCAGUCGUUUACAGGGCAUUUUAAAUACUCUCACAGAUCUUUUAAUUACACAGACGUUUUUUCUCAUGCUAAAUUUCUUUUGUAACUGCUAAAUAUAAUUUAUAAGAUGCCUUUAAUAAAAACUUCAGUUAAAUUAUUACUUUUCUUCAGUUAUGUUAAUACUUUUCAAAGGUAUUUAUUAUAUUUUCUUUCUAAUAACUGAAAUUAAUAUACCAGAGAAUGACUUCAAGCCUACUUUCCAUAAUUUUAGUCACUUUUUUUGUACAGUAUGAGUCACUCAGAAAUUUCAAAAAUCUAAUUCAGACCUUAAUUUGACAUUUCGUAAUUUUGAUGUGACGUCACUCUAGCGUAAUACAGGGAGAUAUGUAUGUGCGAAAAACUAAAAAAAAAAUAAAAUGUGAAAAUUAGAAAACGUUGUGUAUGUUAGUAAGAAAAUAUCAAAAUAACAACUUUUAUCAUUCUAUGUGGUAAAUUUGGGAACGUAUUCAUUUAAACUAAAUAAAUAGGAAUCAUUUAAUUGUGAUGUUCAUUUGUCUGAAGAACUUAAACAAGAACAGAU